AUUCCUAAGUUCUCACGUGGGCCCCAACUGGUCAAGAGUUAUGGGCCCAAAAGCAAGCAAUCCCUUAGCGCCAUUGUUGGAACGCCACAGACUGUGGGCCCCUAAUGGUCGUGGGCCCGGGUUCAUUGAACCCCUUCGCGUCAUGGAUGCUACGCCACUGAACCUGUGGGCAUUUUAGACCGAUAACUCGUUGCCACUCGUCACAGGUCUGUACGACGUCUCUAACGAAUGGUCUCGAUUACAUUCUGUCAGUUGUUUAAAGUUUCCUUUUGUCUUUCUUUUUGGUCCUCCUCCGAAAUUCUUUUUUCUCCUUUUUGGUUUGUAGUUGUCUGGUAACCCUACAGAGGACUAUUGACAUGAACUUCUCUCUGAUUGUCCGUGAACCAAGCAAUACAUCAACAGAUACAAAAUACAGUAUCAGAUAGCACCGGUUAUUAAAUAAAAAUAC